rnacentral:rRNA from 1 species
GACGAACGCUGGCGGCGUGCUUAACACAUGCAAGUCGAACGGAAAGGCCCUGCUUUUGUGGGGUGCUCGAGUGGCGACCGGGUGAUUAACACGUGAGUAACCUGCCCUUGCCUUUGGGGUAACUUCAGGAAACUGGGUCUCAUACCGGAUAGGAGCUCCUGCUGCAUGGUGGGGGUUGGAAAGUUUCGGCGGUUGGGGAUGGACUCGCGGCUUAUCAGCUUGUUGGUGGGGUAGUGGCUUACCAAGGCCUUGACGGGUAGCCGGGCUGAGCGGGGGACCGGCCACAUUGGGACUGAGAUGAGGCCCAGACUCCUACGGGAGGCAGCAGUGGGGAAUAGUGCACAAGGGGCGGAAGCCUGAUGCAGCAACGCCGCGUGCGGGAUGACGGCCUUCGGGUUGUAAACCGCUUUCGCCUGUGACGAAGCGUGAGUGACGGUAAUGGGUAAAGAAGCCCCGGCUAACUACGUG